rnacentral:rRNA from 1 species
UGUCAGCAGCCGCGGUAAUACGAAGGGUGCAAGCGUUACUCGGAAUUACUGGGCGUAAAGCGUGCGUAGGUGGUUUGUUAAGUCUGAUGUGAAAGCCCUGGGCUCAACCUGGGAAUUGCAUUGGAUACUGGCAGGCUAGAGUGCGGUAGAGGAUGGCGGAAUUCCCGGUGUAGCAGUGAAAUGCGUAGAGAUCGGGAGGAACAUCUGUGGCGAAGGCGGCCAUCUGGACCAGCACUGACACUGAGGCACGAAAGCGUGGGGAGCAAACAGGAUUAGAUACCCUGGUAGUCCACGCCCUAAACGAUGCGAACUGGAUGUUGGGUGCAACUAGGCACUCAGUAUCGAAGCUAACGCGUUAAGUUCGCCGCCUGGGGGAGUACGGUCG